UGAGGGGUAUUGGUCAAUGGGCGCAAGCCUGAACCAGCGACGCCGCGUGGGUGAAGAAGGUCUUCGGAUCGUAAAGCCCUUUUCCCACUGAAGAGGAAGGACGGUAGGUGGGGAAGAAGUCUCGGCUAACUACGUGCCAGCAGCCGCGGUAAAACGUAGGAGACAAGCGUUAUCCGGAGUUACUGGGCGUAAAGGGCGUGCAGGUGGCGUCUUAAGUCUGUUGUGAAAGCGCCUGGCUUAACCGGGCGAGGCCAAUGGAGACUGAGAGGCUGGAGGACGGCGGAGGGGUGUGGAAUUCCGGGUGUAGUGGUGAAAUGCGUAGAGAUCCGGAGGAACACCAGAGGCGAAGGCGGCACUCUAAGCCGUACCUGACACUGAGACGCGACAGCACGGGGAGCAAACG
rnacentral:rRNA from 1 species